GCCAGUCGCAUCGCCGGGUAGCUAUGUUCGGAAGGGAUAACCGCUGAAAGCAUCUAAGCGGGAAGCCUACCUCAAGAUAAGAUUUCCCUAGGACUUUAUGUCCUCUAAAGAGCCGUUCGAGACUAGGACGUUGAUAGGUUGGAUGUGGAAGCAUAGUGAUAUGUGAAGCUGACCAAUACUAAUUGCUCGUGAGGCUUGACUAUACAACACCCAAGCAGUUG
rnacentral:rRNA from 1 species